rnacentral:rRNA from 1 species
CCUACGGGAGGCAGCAGUAAGGAAUAUUGGUCAAUGGACGCAAGUCUGAACCAGCCAUGCCGCGUGGAGGAUGAAGGUCCUCUGGAUUGUAAACUUCUUUUAUUUGGGAAGAAACUCCCGAUUUCCAUCGGGAUUGACGGUACCAGAUGAAUAAGCACCGGCUAACUCCGUGCCAGCAGCCGCGGUAAUACGGAGGGUGCAAGCGUUAUCCGUUUUCACUGGGUUUAGGGGGGCAGGUGAUGGGCAGGUAACAUCUACGGGCUUAACCCGGAAACUGCCAUUGAUACUAGUUGUCUUGAAUACUCUGGAGGUGAGCGGAAUAUGUCAUGUAGCGGUGAAAUGCUUAGAUAUGACAUAGAACACCCAUUGCGAAGGCAGCUCACUACGGAAAUAUUGACGCUGAGGCACGAAAGCGUGGGGAUCAAACAGGAUUAGAUACCCCGGUAGUC